UUGGGCCUCUGAUGACCGUCGCGGCUCCACUCGGGGGCUCGCCGUCCCCCAUGCCUUUGAUGGUCGGUCCUCUGUCUCGCUCGCUCGCACGCUCGCCCCGCUCCCAGUUCUCCAGGGCCGGUCAGAAGCUGUCCUCCGCCGUGACGCCCCGCCAGUCUUCCGGUCCUAAGGGACCAUGGAAAGUUUCGGAGAGACUGACCUUUGCCGCAUGACUUAGGUAAAAUCAGAUCAAUAACGACUGGACUAUGACUCGAAGAAACUGCAGAGCUAUGUGAAGGAGAAAUCCUUCUUGAUCUCAGAAAGAGGAGCUCUUGCUGACUGGAUCAGUCCUUAUCAUUGCCAGCUGCGAAUUCUGGGUGAGACAGCCCAUGGGCGGUGUGUUUUUUUUUUUUGUUCUUCUUAUAUGUCGUAAUUCUUCCGGUUGCAAUCGAACAGCUGAAUGUUUAAUUAUUAUUAGUCCCAGCUGCUACAUUUUACUGUUAAAAUAGCUAAUAUGAUUAGAUCAUCGUACGCCAUAGUGUGUCUAGGGAAGAUGAACUUAGUUGGAAUCUUGUACGAUGAUGAUUCAUGUGGUG